rnacentral:rRNA from 1 species
CCUACGGGAGGCAGUAGUGAGGAAUAUUGGUCAAUGGGCGCGAGCCUGAACCAGCCAAGUCGCGUGAGGGAAGACGGUCCUAUGGAUUGUAAACCUCUUUUGUCGGGGAGCAAAAGACGCCACGCGUGGCGUUCCGAGAGUACCCGAAAAAAAAGCAUCGGCUAACUCCGUGCCAGCAGCCGCGGUAAUACGGAGGAUGCGAGCGUUAUCCGGAUUUAUUGGGUUUAAAGGGUGCGCAGGCGGCAGAUCAAGUCAGCGGUAAAAUUGAGAGGCUCAACCUCUUCGAGCCGUUGAAACUGGUUGUCUUGAGUGAGCGAGAAGUAUGCGGAAUGCGUGGUGUAGCGGUGAAAUGCAUAGAUAUCACGCAGAACUCCGAUUGCGAAGGCAGCAUACCGGCGCUCAACUGACGCUCAUGCACGAAAGUGGGGGUAUCGAACAGGAUUAGAUACCCGUGUAGUC